rnacentral:ncRNA from 1 species
CGUUCUCAGGGCGGAGUGAAAUUCUCCACCGGUGGUGAUUUUUGAUAAAUAAGUCCACGAGCACGAGGAAGUGUUGAUUUGGUGUGAUUCCAAAACCGACGGUGAUAGUCCGGAUGGAAGAGAAG